CUUAUCGGUUUGUUUGAUGUUACAGCCAAGGGUCUGUAGCUCAGGUGGUUAGAGCACCGUCUUGAUAAGGCGGGGGUCGUAGGUUCAAGUCCUACCAGACCCACCAAGUUACGGGCGGCGGAGAGCGAUCUUGCCGUGAACUGGGGGAUUAGCUCAGCUGGGAGAGCACCUGCUUUGCAAGCAGGGGGUCGUCGGUUCGAUCCCGUCAUCCUCCACCAACACCUUGUGGUAGCCAAACGCAAGCAUCGAGAGAUCGGUGUUUGCGUUUGGCAUUGCCAAGACGAGUAGUAACUCGGCUGUUCUUUAACAAUAUGGAAUGUAGUAAAGGUGUCGCGGCGCGUUGAUGAGGCGCGCAAUUUAAACGCGACACUGGGUUGUGAUUGUAUCAACCAGUAUUACGAGUGAUCGAAAGACCGCUUGGAAUACGGCACAACGCGAGAACUCAGCCUAUAGCGAGACAUACUCGUUAUAGGGUCAAGCGAAUAAGUGCAUGUGGUGGAUGCCUUGGCGAUCACAGGCGAUGAAGGACGUAGUAGCUUGCGAAAAGCUGCGGGGAGCUGGCAAACGAGCUUUGAUCCGCAGAUGUCCGAAUGGGGAAACCCGGCCCGUAUGGGUCAUCCCUUGCUGAAUACAUAGGCAAGGGAGGCGAACGCAGUGAACUGAAACAUCUAAGUAGCUGCAGGAAAAGAAAUCAACCGAGAUUCCCAGAGUAGUGGCGAGCGAAAUGGGAACAGCCUUGUACUCUUUAGCAGUAUUGUUAGCGGAACGGAAUGGAAAGUCCGGCCAUAGUGGGUGAUAGCCCCGUACGCGAAAACAGUAUUGUGGAACUAGGUGUACGACAAGUAGGGCGGGACACGUGAAAUCCUGUCUGAAGAUGGGGGGACCAUCCUCCAAGGCUAAAUACUCGUGAUCGACCGAUAGUGAACCAGUACCGUGAGGGAAAGGCGAAAAGAACCCCGGGAGGGGAGUGAAAUAGAUCCUGAAACCGCAUGCAUACAAACAGUCGGAGCCUGGAAACGGGUGACGGCGUACCUUUUGUAUAAUGGGUCAGCGACUUACAUUCAGUGGCAAGCUUAACCGAUUAGGGAAGGCGUAGCGAAAGCGAGUCCGAAUAGGGCGUUCAGUCGCUGGGUGUAGACCCGAAACCAAGUGAUCUAUCCAUGGCCAGGUUGAAGGUGCGGUAACACGUACUGGAGGACCGAACCCACUAACGUUGAAAAGUUAGGGGAUGAGCUGUGGAUAGGGGUGAAAGGCUAAACAAACUUGGAAAUAGCUGGUUCUCUCCGAAAACUAUUUAGGUAGUGCCUCGUGUCUCACCUUCGGGGGUAGAGCACUGUCAUGGUUGGGGGGUCUAUUGCUGAUUACCCCGCCAUAGCAAACUCCGAAUACCGAAGAGUGCAAUCACGGGAGACAGACAUCGGGUGCUAACGUCCGGUGUCAAGAGGGAAACAACCCAGACCGCCAGCUAAGGUCCCUAAG
rnacentral:sRNA from 1 species